UCGAAAGGGUUGGGUCGGUGUAUUCGCGCUUAAAAUAACCUUCUUCACUCAUCCCUCUCGCUUCUCUCCAAACACCAUAGAUACAUGUUUCUUUGAAGAAGAGGGUUUUAUUUGGAGGUUCUUUUUCUUCUAUCGACACCACCGUUUCCUCGUUCUUUCAUUCUCCGGCGUUCAACAAUCCUCUGCGUUCCCCUCUUCCUCUGUUAGGUUAACGUUCUUGAUUUUUUUGUGUGUGUAUUUUAUUGAUUUCGUUUUUGUUUUUGUUAGGUAUUUUAAAUUCGGCUAAGAUCUUCAGGCCUCCCUUCAUCACUGGGGCUAUUGGGUUGUACCUUUAUUCUUUGUCGUUGUAGUAUGACGUCUGGUUCCGAUGUCAGUUUGGUUCACCGUCAUCAUCGAUCAAGAAAAAGAGUCCGUCUUUCUCCUCUGAUUUCUAGGUCACCUAAUAGAAAGCACCCAUCAAAUGAAGAUGAUUGGUCAAACAAUAGAUUUUAGAGAUUGAAAAGUGAUUUUUGGGGGCAUAAGGAAAGUAAGCUUGAAUCUUAAUCAAAUGAGGAUACUUCCAAGAGGUGUUGUGAUUUUUUUUAACAAUUUAUAUGCUGAGCUUUUUGUUUCAAGGCUACUACAAAGAUACGCUUUUAGUUCCAUUGAAUCUCAAAUAAGGGUGUUGGGUGAUUUCCGUCUUCUAUCCACUGAAUUACAAAAGAUAUGAGUCUGUAACUCUGUUUGUUUAUUUCCAGAAAUACCCCUCUGUUCCUAAAACUUGUGCUUAUAUAUAUUAUCUGCAGGAUAUGAUGGGAUUAACUUACUUCAUGUUGAAUCAAUCAAAGCAAGAUGCUGAAUAUUGCACAGAAACACCUUCAGUACUUAUUUAGUAUGCCUGGUAGAUCUUUACAUCAGGGAAGGAAAUGCCUCAUGGUGGAUUGAAAUGUUAAAAUCAAGUGGUCAAUUAAUAUAAAGAGGUGCUGAUGUAUACUUUCGUAUCUCUGAUGAGGAACCUCUUCAUUCAGCUGUGAUUAUUGUUGUUGUUACCUUUUUUUUAGCCAAACGAAUUAUGUUAAGAAAGUAUGGAUUUCAUCUCAUUCUUUCUGGUGGUGAUCUGUACAAGAAAUGGGAUCAGGUUUGGGCAAUUUUAGUAGGAUCUUCUUCAUACAAUUCAACAUAUGCACAGAGGCAGUAUGUUGUCUCAGUUAAAACAUCAGAAUACAUGUAUGUCAAAAACCAAUGGGAGAGUAUUUCUCCGGAACAGGCUAAAAGGUUUACAAAAAAUUAGAGAAAGGGAGGGUUUGAUCGAGAAAGAUGUGGGCUUGAGUGAUCUCUCUCCAUGCUAAUUCAUCACGAAAGAUGAAUCACAAGCUUUCUGGUGUUCUUUAUUUUAUUUUAUUGGAAAGCUGGUGGAACAACUACUUCAAACAAAACGACUACUUCUGUUUCCACUGGAUUCUGAUCCAAUUCAAAAACUGGCAAGUAAAUUUACUCUUUUACCCUCACAAACUACACUACUAAUUUGACAAUUUAGAGAGUUUUUUGGGAAAAAGAUGGGUCUUCUCUUUGAGAAGAAUCCUCAAUAUCUACACUCAAUACACAUGCUAAUUAUCAGCCAGAAUUACAGAUUCUUAGCCUAUAAAUCAGCUUGCUAGAGUUAUAUACAGUUAUUGACAAUAAAAGCAUGUGAUAGGAAAUAUAUUUUGCUGAAAAAUCUGAAGCAUAAAAUCAGUAUUGAAUAUAUAUAUAUAUAUAUAUAUAUAUAUAUAUAUAUAUAUAUGUGUGUGUGUGUGUGUGUGUGUGUGGAUUUGAUAAUUGCAUGUGAUACAGAGAAACUAAGGUAUUGGCAGAAAUGAAAACACACUUGCAAGAUGUAGUAAACAGCAGUUAGCGCCCAAUGCUUCUUCACAAGCCAUACUUUGUGUGCCACAGACAUUGCAUAUUGUAGGUUUCACCCAAUUAAUAAAUACUUUGAAAUGGUUAAAAUUGUGAUCAUUUGCUAAUCACUUUGACAUUUCAUUUUAAAAUUCUUUAUUUACUUGUGGUGGAGAAAAGGGAAAGAAGAUGCUCCCGAGAAUCAAAGUGUUAUAACAUAUGACUGUAAAACACUUGAUGGUUUUUUAUGGUACAGAUUUAGUUCCUUUGAAUCUGAAAAAAGGGUGUUGUGCUUGUGUUUAUUUAUUAUCUCUAUGCAUUGGAGUGGAAGCAAAAGUUUUGUGUGAAUAAAAGGCAAAAGCUAAUUAGAAACUAAUCACAUUAUCACAUUUGGUUUGAAAUUCCUAUCAAAAUUUGUAUAAAAUUGUAAAACAAAGAAAAUUCGAUGGGACAGAAUAUAUGUUAAAAACACACAUAAAAAAUAUUUGUAAAAAACCCAGUUUUACAAAUGAUUUCAUAUAAAAGAAAUUUAUUAGAAGAUAAUUUUCUAAAAAAAAAAAAAUUAAAAAACCAAGUUUUAGAAUAUAUAUAUAAAAAGAAAGUUGUAGAUCUUUCUCAUCUGAUUUCUUUUUUUUUUCUAAGAAUUGCAUCAUCAUCACUAAAAGGUAAAUUAAUGACAUGAUUUUACUUAAUUGCAGCCUUAACUAACGCUACAACCUCCCUGGGUUUCUUUUUGUUUCUCCUCCAUUUAUUUUUUGUUUUGUUGGUUUUUUG